UACGGGGGGGGCAAGCGUUGUUCGGAAUUACUGGGCGUAAAGGGUGCGUAGGCGGGUCUUUAAGUCAGGGGUGAAAUCCUGGAGCUCAACUCCAGAACUGCCUUUGAUACUGAGGAUCUCGAGUCCGGGAGAGGUGAGUGGAACUCCGAGUGUAGAGGUGAAAUUCGUAGAUAUUCGGAAGAACACCAGUGGCGAAGGCGGCUCACUGGCCCGGUACUGACGCUGAGGUGCGAAAGCGUGGGGAGCAAACAGG
rnacentral:rRNA from 1 species